rnacentral:misc_RNA from 1 species
UUUUUUUUUUCCCCAUUAUACACUAUCUCCAUUAGAAAGUCAUAAAUGGCUUGGCCUUCUUUUACCAGCAUCUGUCCUCAAUCUCUUUACAGGAUUUGCCCAACCAACACUGCCGCCACCGCCACCGCCAUUAUUUGAUGGUUGAGGUUGGUUGGCCCACCCUUGCUGAUGGGAAUUCUGCUGACCCAUUCUCAAUUCCUUAGGGACUGAACCUGGAACUAGACUCAUUAUAUUACGACCCAUGCUAGGGGGAGAA